AUACCUUUCUUGGCCUUUUGGCUAAGAUCAAAGGUAGUAUGUGCUUUUAUUAGUUUAAUAUUUGAUAUGUGGGUCAUCGGCUCACACGAUAUUAAUUUUAUUUUUGAAGGGGGAAGGUACAUCAUGGUAGCUUGCUAUCGGGGCCUUCAAGUGUCGUCAACUUGACAAUGCAAAAAUAGUUGUUCGUACUAUUAAG